AUGACGGAAGAACUUAGAGGAAGCGCGGCAGUCUCAAUGGGGAUGUGUCAGAGCCGGGUGCGACUGCACUUUGCCGGGCAUCCUUGAGGCCCCAGGGUCCAACCACAGCCAGUUUUCUUAGAGACAGGGUUCCCUAAAUCGCUUGCCCGCGCUGGCCUCCAACUCAGUCCCCCUGCCUCAGCCUCCCAAGCGGCUGGGAUGACCGGCGCGCGCCACCUCCUCCGCCCCUUCAGCUCACGCGCGGGGCUGCUGCUCCGCUGAGCACGCGCCUUUGUGGCCCUGCUGGCUCGCUGGCCGCACGCUGGGAGUUUCAGUGGGAUGUGCCGGUACUUGACCCACGGUACCUCGUGCUCAGCCCGAAGGGCCGGGGCGCGGGCCGCGUUAGUGAGCAGGAGGGCGGGCGCAGGGAAAGCCCUCCGCCUUCGGAAUCGUUUAACCGAUGCACGAAACGCGAGCACGCGGGCGCUCACGGGGACGGCGCGGGGCCGACGCCCUUGACAGGUGCAACAUCCCGCCCCCGACCGUCUGUCCGUGCGGGAGACGACCGAGGUCCUCGCUCCCGGCCUCGCGGCACGCAGCA
rnacentral:lncRNA from 1 species